rnacentral:rRNA from 1 species
AUGGACGAAAGUCUGACCGAGCAACGCCGCGUGAGCGAUGAAGGCCUUCGGGUCGUAAAGCUCUGUUGUCAGAGAAGAACAAGUACCGGAGUAACUGCCGGUACCUUGACGGUACCUGACCAGAAAGCCACGGCUAACUACGUGCCAGCAGCCGCGGUAAUACGUAGGUGGCAAGCGUUAUCCGGAAUUAUUGGGCGUAAAGCGCGCGCAGGCGGUUCUUUAAGUCUGAUGUGAAAGCCCACGGCUCAACCGUGGAGGGUCAUUGGAAACUGGGGAACUUGAGUGCAGGAGAGAAAAGUGGAAUUCCACGUGUAGCGGUGAAAUGCGUAGAGAUGUGGAGGAACACCAGUGGCGAAGGCGGCUUUUUGGCCUGUAACUGACGCUGAGGCGCGAAAGCGUGGGGAGCAAACAGGAUUAGAUACCCUGGUAGUCCACGCCGUAAACGAUGAGUGCUAGGUGUUGGGGGGUUCCACCCUCAGUGCUGACGUUAACACAUUAAGCACUCCGCCUGGGGAGUACGACCGCAAGGUUGAAACUCAAAGGAAUUGACGGGGGCCCGCACAAGCAGUGGAGCAUGUGGUUUAAUUCGAAGCAACGCGAAGAACCUUACCAGGUCUUGACAUCCUCUGACCAUCCUAGAGAUAGGACUUUCCCCUUCGGGGGACAGAGUGACAGGUGGUGCAUGGUUGUCGUCAGCUCGUGUCGUGAGAUGUUGGGUUAAGUCCCGCAACGAGCGCAACCCUUGACCUUAGUUGCCAGCAUUCAGUUGGGCACUCUAAGGUGACUGCCGGUGACAAACCGGAGGAAGGUGGGGAUGACGUCAAAUCAUCAUGCCCCUUAUGACCUGGGCUACACACGUGCUACAAUGGGUGGUACAAAGGGUUGCAAAGCCGCGAGGCCGAGCCAAUCCCAAAAAGCCACUCUCAGUUCGGAUUGUAGGCUGCAACUCGCCUACAUGAAGCCGGAAUUGCUAGUAAUCGCGGAUCAGCAUGCCGCGGUGAAUACGUUCCCGGGCCUUGUACACACCGCCCGUCACACCACGAGAGUUUGUAACACCCGAAGUCGGUGGGGUAACCUUUUAGGAGCCAGCCGCCGAAGGUGGGACAGAUGAUUGGGGUGAAGUCGUAACAAGGUAGCCGUAUCGGAAGGUGCGGCUGGAUCACCUCCUUU